rnacentral:tmRNA from 1 species
GGGGGCGCUCCGGUUUCGACGGGGGCGUCGUAGUCUUCGGUGGCGUGCAGAGGGGUCCGCAACCUCGCAAAUCCAGCGGAACGUACAAACGCGAACGACAACGCGUACGCGCUCGCGGCCUAAGAAACCGUCGACGCCGUCCGAGGAACGAGCCCGGCGAUGCUCGUCCAAGGGCGUGACCGAAUCGCCUGGCUGAUCCCGUCCACCACGUGCGGGUGAGGUGAGAAAACAGCGUGGAGUAGGUUCGACGGGAGGUUGUCGAUGGCCGCCCGCGCACCGAAUCAACACAUCGACUACGCACGUAGAGGCCUAGACGAAGCGCUUUCGGACGCGGGUUCGACUCCCGCCGCCUCCACUG